GAUGAACGCUGGCGGCGUGCCUAAUACAUGCAAGUCGAGCGAACGGACGAGAAGCUUGCUUCUCUGAUGUUAGCGGCGGACGGGUGAGUAACACGUGGAUAACCUACCUAUAAGACUGGGAUCACUUCGGGAAACCGGAGCUAAUACCGGAUAAUAUUUUGAACCGCAUGGUUCAAAAGUGAAAGACGGUCUUGCUGUCACUUAUAGAUGGAUCCGCGCUGCAUUAGCUAGUUGGUAAGGUAACGGCUUACCAAGGCAACGAUGCAUAGCCGACCUGAGAGGGUGAUCGGCCACACGGGAACUGAGACACGGUCCAGACUCCUACGGGAGGCAGCAGUAGGGAAUCUGCCGCAAUGGGCGAAAGCCUGACGGAGCAACGCCGCGUGAGUGAUGAAGGUCUUCGGAUCGGAAAACUCUGUUAUUAGGGAAGAACAUAUGUGGAAGUAACUGUGCACAGCGUGACGGUACCGAAUCAGAAAGCCACGGCUAACUACGUG
rnacentral:rRNA from 1 species